GGACCGUAAACCGACACAGGUGGGUGGGUCGAGUAGACCAAGGCGCGCGAGAGAAACCUCUCUGAGGAACUCGGCAAAAUAGCCCCGUAACUUCGGGAGAAGGGGUACCCACUUCGGUGGGUCACAGUAAAUUGGGUUUAGCGACUGUUUAACAAAAACACAGCACUCUGCCAAGUUGUGAAAACAACGUAUAGGGUGUGACACGUGACCAAUGCGGAAAGAUCAAGGUGACUUGUUAGCCGCAAGGCGAAGCUCGGAGCCAAAGUCCCCGUGAAUGUCGGCCGUAACUAUAACGGUCCUAAGGUAGCGAAAUUCCUUGUCGGGUAAGUUCCGACCUGCACGAAUCGUGUAACGACUGAACCGCUGUCUCGGAGAGGAUCUCGGCGAAAUUGUAACGGCGGUGAAGAUGCCGCCUGCCCGCAGUAGGACGGAAAGACCCUAUGCACCUUUACUGUAAGCUGGUAUUGUGUUCUGAUUAAUGAUGCGUAGCGUAGGUGGGAGACUUUGAAGCCAUGGUUUCGGUUGUGGCUGAGUCGCAAUGUGAAACACCACUCUUUGUUAAUUAGGAUUCUAACCCUAUGCUGUUAGCCAGCUAGGGGACAGUGCCUGCGGGUCAGUUUGACUGGGGCGGUUUCCUCCCAAAGGGUAACGGAGGAGCGCUAAGGUACUCUCAGCAUGGUUUGCAACCAUGCGUCGAGCGUAUGGGUAGAAGAGUGCUUAACUGCGAGACCAACAAGUCGAGCAGAUACGAAAGUAGGCCCAAAUGAUCCGAUGGUUGAAUAUGGAAUUGCCAUCGCUCAACGGACAAAAGGUACGCUAGGGAUAACAGGCUGAUCGGAUCCAAGAGUUCAUAUCGACGAUCCGGUUUGGCACCUGGAUGUCGGCUCAUCGCAUCCUGGGGCUGGAGAAGGUCCCAAGGGUCCGGCUGUUCGCCGGUUAAAGCGGUACGCGAGCUGGGUUCAGAACGUCGUGAGACAGUUCGGUCCUUAUCCACUGUGGGCGCAGGAAACUUGAGGGGUUCAUUCUCUAGUACGAGAGGACCGAGAAUGACGCACUUCUGGUGUGGCAGUUGUUCCGUCAGGGGCAGCGCUGCGUAGCCAUGUGCGGAAGAGAUAAGCGCUGAAAGCAUCUAAGUGCCAAGCUCAUCCCAAGAUAUUGUUUCCCGGACGCAAGUCCCUAAAGACUCCAUGUAGACCACGUGGUUGAUAGGUCAGGCGUGUAAGUGCCGCAAGGUACUCAGCGGACUGAUACUAAUUAGUCGUGCGGCUUGAUCGC
rnacentral:rRNA from 1 species